AUUUUGGAAUUUUACCUGUCAUAUUUUGAUUUGAUGUUUUCUUGAAAUACAGUAUUCUCAGAGAGCAAGAUUUUGAUGGUGUGCUUCCAACAUCAAUUACGAAGCUGCCUUUCCUUAAGGGACUUGAUCUGACUCGUAACUACCUUAGUGGCAAUAUACCGCCUGAAUGGGUUUCCACAAAAUUGGAAAUUCUGACCAUUUCAGUGAACCGCUUAACAGGUCAGAUUCCAAGUUACUUGGGAGAGAUCACCUCGCUCAAACACUUG